rnacentral:rRNA from 1 species
ACGAACGCUGGCGGCAUGCCUAACACAUGCAAGUCGAACGAGACCUUCGGGUCUAGUGGCGCACGGGUGCGUAACGCGUGGGAACCUGCCCUUAGGUUCGGAAUAACUCCCCGAAAGGGGUGCUAAUACCGGAUAAUGUCUUCGGACCAAAGAUUUAUCGCCUUUGGAUAGGCCCGCGUUGGAUUAGCUAGUUGGUAGGGUAAAAGCCUACCAAGGCGACGAUCCAUAGCUGGUCUGAGAGGAUGAUCAGCCACACUGGGACUGAGACACGGCCCAGACUCCUACGGGAGGCAGCAGUGGGGAAUAUUGGACAAUGGGCGAAAGCCUGAUCCAGCAAUGCCGCGUGAGUGAUGAAGGCCUUAGGGUUGUAAAGCUCUUUUACCCGGGAUGAUAAUGACAGUACCGGGAGAAUAAGCUCCGGCUAACUCCGUG